CCUACGGGUGGCAGCAGUGGGGAAUAUUGCACAAUGGGGGAAACCCUGAUGCAGCAACGCCGCGUGAGUGAAGAAGUUUCUCGGUAUGUAAAGCCUUAUCAGCAGGGAAGCAGAUGACGGUACCCGAUUAAGAAGCCCCGGCUAACUACGUGCCAGCAGCCGCGGUAAUACGUAGGGGGCAAGCGUUAUCCGGAUUUACCGGGUGUAAAGGGAGCGCAGACGGCAGUGCAAGUCUGGAGUGAAAGCUCGGGGCCCAACCCCGGAACCGCUCUGGAAACUGUGAGGCUAGAGUACUGGAGGGGCAGGCGGAAUUCGUAGUGUAGCGGUGAAAUGCGUAGAUAUUAGGAAGAACACCAGUGGCGAAGGCGGCCUGCUGGACAGUAACUGACGUUGAGGCUCGAAAGCGUGGGGAGCAAACAGGAUUAGAUACCCGAGUAGUC
rnacentral:rRNA from 1 species